ensembl:rRNA 5_8S_rRNA 5.8S ribosomal RNA
AACUCUUAGCGGUGGAUCACUCGGCUCGUGCGUCGAUGAAGAACGCAGCUAGCUGCGAGAACUAAUGUGAAUUGCAGGACACAUUGAUCAUCGACACUUCGAACGCACCUUGCGGCCCCAGGUUCCUCCUGGGGCUACGCCUGUCUGAGGGUCG